rnacentral:rRNA from 1 species
CAGCCCCCCGAGUGGUGGGGAUGUUUAUUUGGCCUAAAACGUCCGUAGCCGGCUCGGUAAAUCUCUCGUUAAAUCCAGCGUCCUAAGCGUUGGGCUGCGAGAGAGACUGCCGAACUAGAGGGUGGGAGAGGUCAGCGGUAUUUCUGGGGUAGGGGCGAAAUCCAUUGAUCCCAGGAGGACCACCAGUGGCGAAGGCUGCUGACUAGAACACGCCUGACGGUGAGGGACGAAAGCUGGGGUAGCGAAUCGGAUUAGAUACCCGAGUAGUCC